rnacentral:tRNA from 1 species
CCUGCUGGCUCAGAGGGUAAAGCGCCUGCCCGCAAUGCGGGAGACCCAGGUUCGAUCCCUGGGGCAGGA